UCAUUAAAAGAAAGUUAUUGGCAUAAAGAAAUGAAUUUUUAGAGCCACUGGAUUGGACAGAAUUUAAGAAAAAUUUAACCAAUUUGGUAUAAUUAUUCAGUAGAAUGAUCUAAAGCUUGGUGAGGUAAUUUUUCUCCAUAAUUUUCUACCAUUUUGGCACCAUUUUAUGAAGAGACGAUAUGAUUGGAAUUUUUAAAAUUUAUGAAAGGCAUGCCUGGAAGAAUGAAUUAUGUAAUAAGAUAAUAUAUUUUUAAACACAUGUUUUUCUAAAAGGAAGACACCUCAUAAGGCAAAUGGCAUGAUAUUAGUAUUUGGAAGACAGGACGACCUUGACUUGGAAGAGCUUGAUGAUGUAAGGGAGAUGAUGUAAGAGGACACAUGGCUAGUCAUCUUAUUCUCCUAUGACACUCGGUAUGAUCAUGUAAAACAUGGCUUGAUAAAGGGGACAAGUGUACAAAGAAAUUAUAACAUUUCACCAAGACCCAAAUAGAAAAUCCAAGCUAAAAGUUUGUCUAUAAAUACCUAUCCAAGUUCCUCAUUUUUGGCCAACAUAAGAAGACAUAGAGAGGAAAGUUUUUGCUCUUGAAUCAAAGGGAAAAGGAAGAGAACAAGGAAAAAGAAAACCAAGUCAAUUUUAAGGCAAUACACAAGGUACUGUCCAUUGGCAAGAAAAGCUCCAAGGAUAAAGGAAAGGAAGAAAGAGUCAAGCUUGAAAGAGGAAACUUAAGAAUUAGAGCCAUGAUUGGAGACUAAGGAACUACACAACACAAGACUCAAAGUAUUGAUUCUAGAACUGUUCACUAUGGCUAAGUAAAUUAUGUGCCACGGUGUAAUUGGAAGAUAAGCAUCACUAUAGUCUUAAGAUGUCUUCACCGCGGCCAUAUUUUGUCUUCACUGUGGCAACCUCAUCGAUUUUGAUGAAGCUCCUCUUAGGAAAGCUUCAUUACGGCAAACAUUUCCCUUAGCCGCAAUGAAGUCCUCAUAUUAGCAACCCAGAUUCGGAUCCUAAUAGCAAGAUUAGGCUACCCACUCAUUAAAUCCUACCCAUUUCAUCCCCUUAAAUGUUUAGAAACCCUAUUUUUGACCUAACACUCCAUUCACUCAUCUAUAGCCUCCUCUAUUCAUCCUCUCUCACUCUCCCUCAUCAAACUCUCAUCUUCUUCCACUUAUGCAUCUUCCACUAUGGGUAGCUCGAAAUCAUUGUUGAUUGUGGUGCUUCCUACUCCAUUACAUGGCUAGACAUUUAUUCUCUUGAAGAUGGAUUGAUUGGCAUGAGUUCCAAGAGCUUCAAAGAGGAGUUGGCUUUAUCUAUAGUCUAGUUGCUUGUUUAUGAAUUCCUAGAUCUAGGGUUUGUAAAAUUGUGACUGAACUAUGUUGGUUAUGAUUGUAAUCAAUUCUAGAUGAUUAUGUUAUGUAUUGGAUUAGUUAAUGUUGAAUGUGGGCUUCUAUAUAUGUGAUUA